AAACAUAGCAAUCACUGUGGGUAUUUCUUAAAAGCAGGCUCUGAGAUUCUGAUUAAAGGGUUACUCCAAGAACCAUGACGACUUCAGCUAUUUGAUGUGACCAUGGUGGUCCGUGUCUGUAUGUGCAGUGUUUCUGCAUGACACACUGCACAUACUGAGAUGUUUGUAUCUAGUUGCACUCCUAGCACACGUGACGCCGGUAGCAC